GGCUUAGAGUUUGAUCAUGGCUCAGGACGAACGCUGGCGGCGUGCUUAACACAUGCAAGUCGAACGGGGCACCCUUGACUGGGGUUUCGGCCAAAUGAUAGGAAUGCCUAGUGGCGGACUGGUGAGUAACGCGUGAGGAACCUGCCUUCCAGAGGGGGACAACAGUUGGAAACGACUGCUAAUACCGCAUGACAUAUUGAAAGGGCAUCCUUUUGAUAUCAAAGAUUUAUCGCUGGAAGAUGGCCUCGCGUCUGAUUAGCUAGUAGGCGGGGUAACGGCCCACCUAGGCGACGAUCAGUAGCCGGACUGAGAGGUUGACCGGCCACAUUGGGACUGAGAUACGGCCCAGACUCCUACGGGAGGCAGCAGUGGGGAAUAUUGGGCAAUGGGCGCAAGCCUGACCCAGCAACGCCGCGUGAAGGAAGAAGGCUUUCGGGUUGUAAACUUCUUUUGUCAGGGAACAGUAGAAGAGGGUACCUGACGAAUAAGCUCCGGCUAACUACGUGCCAGCAGCCGCGGUAAUACGUAGGGAGCGAGCGUUGUCCGGAUUUACUGGGUGUAAAGGGCGUGCAGCCGGGCUGGCAAGUCAGGCGUGAAAUCCCAGGGCUUAACCCUGGAACUGCGUUUGAAACUGCUGGUCUUGAGUACCGGAGAGGUUAUCG
rnacentral:rRNA from 1 species